CCCAUAGCGGGGACAGGGACCAGAUCCGGUGAUUAGCAGGGCAAGCGUAGGGGCCAGGCAGCUGAGUGGUGGAGUGGUUUGUUUUUUUGUUUUUUUUCCCCCCUUCCUUUUCCGGGGGGGGGGGGGUUUGCUCAACCUGGCUGGUUGGUUGGGUGCAGCACCAUCACCCAAUCCCAUUUAGCACCUACUACCUCUAGGGUAGCCCCAGUGAACACCAGGGACCGGGACCAGGGCCCACACCGCCGCUGCUGCCAAAAGCUGCAACCAGAGGACUGUUGGAUGAGAGGCUGUGAACUGAAUAUGUUGUUGAUUGACUGUGUGUGUGUGUGAGUGUGAGUGCAAAAGAUAUAAAAAUUACUGGUAGUAGAGAAAGAGAGGGGAGAAAAGUAGAGAGAGGAAGAAAAAAAACAACAGAAUGUUAUGGGAGGUCACUGUGUGUUCCCAUCUGUCUCAUGUUGUUGUCACAGCGGUGGGAGAUGAGAGUGUUGCGAGGAAGCAGCCCCGAGUGCUACGGGGCAGCUAGGUGUUUGUAACAAGACCUAUGAGCCGACCCGACACACGGAGACACCGACACCGCGCUCACGCCGCGGCACACCAACACACACACAUCUGUCUGUUCACUCCCGAGCGCGUGUGUCAGCUUCUUCACGGAUCUCCUGGAGAAGUCCCUCCUCUCCGGUUAAAGACAGGAGAUAUGAAGUCUAACGCACACGGAGAUGGAGAGAAAGAAGUACAGCAAGAGGAGAAGGGAAGCUGACCAGGAGGGGGGCCAAUUACCGAUCUAUUCAGCCCGUGCCGAGAUGAUUGAGUUUCAUAAAAAUCUAUAAUCAUCUAUCAAGAGUUAGAAAGUAUUAACACAUUUUGAGCUGAUGUUAUUCUAUCAAAUGUAAAUGCACAUUGAAGCAUGACAGGCAGCAGAGCAGGAUUCAUCGACUGGAGAGGGAUUUCAUCCAUGUUGCUAUGUAUGCUUGGUUCUUGUAUUUUUCCUUUCAUCACAGGCACGCACACACACACACACACACGUCCUCGCUGGUGUGUGUGUGGGAGACAGAUUUACAACUGAAGGUCUCUGGUGGAGGUCAGGGUAAAAUAGACCAGAGACCUCACCUUCACCACGGUCUAAAUGAACCUGACAAGCAUCUCUCCUCCUUUUAACAAGAACCUUAUCUUAGAGUCUUAAAAUAAAUACCUUACUAACUGACCACUUAUUUGUAUUAUGCAUCUGCUUUCAUUAAA